CCUCUGCAUCCCCUAGUACGGCGAGUGAGAGGGAAGAGCCCAAGAUUGAAAGCUGGCGUCUUCGGCGUCCGCAUUGUAAUCUCAAGAAGUGUUUUCCGCUUCGGACCAAGCCUAAGUCCCUUGGAAAAGGGCAUCAUAGAGGGUGAUAAUCCCGUACAUGGCUUGGAGCGCCCGAAGCUUUGUGAUACGCUUUCUAAGAGUCGAGUUGUUUGGGAAUGCAGCUCAAAAUGGGUGGUAAAUGCCAUCUAAGGCUAAAUAUUGGGGAGAGACCGAUAGCGAACAAGUACAGUGAUGGAAAGAUGAAAAGAACUUUGAAAAGAGAGUUAAACAGUACGUGAAAUUGCCAAAAGGGAAGGGUAGGAGGUCAGAGAUGCGGCCUGGGAUUCAGCCUUGCUUUUGCUUGGUGUUUUUCCCAGAUUGCAGGCCAACGUCGGUUUUGGGCACUGGAGAAGGGUAGGAGGAACGUGGCACCUCUCGGGGUGUGUUAUAGCCUCCUACUGGAUACAGCGACCGAGACCGAGGACAGCAGCGUACUCGCAAGAGCGGGCCUUCGGGCACCUUACGCUAGGCGUGCAUAAGUCAU
rnacentral:rRNA from 1 species